UACACCCCGCCCGUCGCUACUACGGAUUGAAGGUUUAGUGAGGUCCUCCGACUGGACCCGGUCCGGGCGGCGACGUCCGAGCCGGCGUCCGAGAAGACGAUCUAACUUGAUCAUUUAGAGGAAGUAAAAGUCGUAACAAGGUUUCCGUAGGUGAACCUGCGGAAGGAUCAUUA
rnacentral:ncRNA from 1 species